AUUGAACGCUGGCGGCAGGCCUAACACAUGCAAGUCGAACGAGUGGCGGACGGGUGAGUUAUGUCUGGGAAACUGCCCGAUGGAGGGGGAUAACUACUGGAAACGGUAGCUAAUACCGCAUACCAUCGGAUGUGCCCAGAUGUGAUUAGCUAGUAGGUGGGGUAACGGCUCACCUAGGCGACGAUCCCUAGCUGGGCUGAGAGGAUGACCAGGCACACUGGAACUGGGACACGGGCCAGACGACGACGGGAGGCAGCAGUGGGGAAAAUUGCACAAUGGGCGCAAGCAAGAUGCAGCGAUGCCGAGUGUAUGAAGAAGGCCUUCGGAUUGUAAAGUACUUUCAGCGAGGAGGCGUUACUCGCAGAAGAAGCACCGGCUAACUCCGUGCCAGCAGCCGCGGUAAUUC
rnacentral:rRNA from 1 species